rnacentral:rRNA from 1 species
GACGAACGCUGGCGGCGUGCUUAACACAUGCAAGUCGAACGAAAAGGCCCUGCUUUUUUGCGCUGCUCGAGUGACGAACGGGUAACCAACACGUGAGUAACCUACCAUUGCCUUUAGGAUAACUUAAGGAAACUGGGUCUCAUCCCGGCAAGGAGCUCCUGCUGCUGGGUGGGGGUGGGAUAGUUUCGCCGGUUGGGGAUGGACUCGCGGCUUAUCGGCUUGUUGGUUGGGUAGUGGCUUACGAAGGCUGUCACCGGUAGCCGGCCUGGGAGGGUAAGCUGCCAAAUUGGGACUGAGAUACGGCCCAGACUCGUACGGUACGCAACAGAGGGGAAGAUUGCACAAGGGGCGGAAGCCUGAUGUAGCAACGCCGCGUGGGGUAUGACGGCCAGCGGGUAGGAAUCCGAUUUUGCCUGUGACGAAGCGUGAGUGACGGUAAUGGGUAAAUAAGCACCGGCUAACUACGUG